rnacentral:rRNA from 1 species
AGGAUCUUGAAAGUAAAAAAAUUUGGCAGUAAUUUAAUCUUUUUAGAGGAACCUGUUCUAUAAUUGAUAUUCCACGAUUAAAAAUACUUAUUUUAUUAGUUUAUAUAUCAUUGUUUAGAAUAUUUUAGGAAAAUAAUUAAUAUUCAAUUUAUUUUAUAUAAUUUAAGUUCAAAUCAAGGUGUAGCUUAUAAAUAAGGAGAAAUGGGUUACAUUAAUUAUGGAUUAUAAAUUAUAAAUUUAUAUAAAAUUGGAUUUAAAAGUAAUUUUAUUAAUUUAAUUAAAAUGAUUAAAGUUCUAAAUUAUG